AGUCAUAUAGUUGUUUAUUUCUUUGACAAUUGAAGGGAAUGUGUUCCACAGGGUGGGCACCACUACUGAGAAGGCACUCUGCCUGGUUCCUUGUAGCUUUGCUUCUCGCAGUGAGGGAACCACCAGAAGGCCCUCGACACUGGACUUCAGUGUCCGGGCUGAACAAUGGGGGUGGAGAGGCUCCUUCAGGUAUACUGGGCCGAGGCUGUUUAGGAUUUUAAAGAUCAGCACCAUCACUUUGAAUUGUGUUCGGAGAUGUACUGGGAGCUAGUGAAGAUACUUUACAACCAGUGUUAUACGGCCCUGGCAGCCACUCCCAGUUACCAGUCUAGCUGCCACAUUCUGGAUUAGUUGUAGUUUGCGAGUCAGCUUCAAAGGUAGCCCCACAUAGAGCACAUUGUAGUAGUCCAAGCAAGAGAUAACCAGGGCAUGCACCACUCUGGCAAGACAGUUGUGGGCAGGUAGGGUCUCAGCCUGUGUACAGAGGGAGCUGGAAAACAGCUGCCCUGGACACAGAAUUGACCCGCGCCCCCAUGGACAGCUAUGAGUCCAAAAUGACUCCCAGGCUGUGUACCUGGUCUUUCAGGGGCACGGUUACUCUGUUCAGGACCAGGGAGUUCCCCACACCUUCCCGCCCCCUGUCCCCCCAAAACAGUACUUCUGUCUUGUCAGGAUUCAAUCUCAAUCUGUCAUUCGCCAGCCAUCCACCAACUGCCUUCCAGACACACAAACAAAAUCAAAACAGCAACAGUAUAAUUGAAACAAAAAGACAACAUAAAGCCAGCAAAACAGUAGUAUAAAAGUUCAUGAAAACAACUAAAAACUGGAGUUCAUAUAAAAAAUGUCUGUUCCUAUGGGUCAUGGAAAGCCUGGAUAAAGUAUUUACAAGACAUCUGAAGUAACCGAUGUUUGCUGCUUCGUGUAUGAAAUAUUAUUUGAGAAAGCUAUUCAACCAAUCAGUCACUGACUGCACUAACUACCAAACAUUUACCACCUGUGCGAGAAAGAUCUGAUCUUAAAUUCUUGAGAUAUGUCUGCAUAUCAAGCUAUAGGAGGGGGGAAAUGGGACUUAUGGGCUGUCCAGUGUUCUGCUAAAAAACCUGCUUUAUCAGGUUCCUCCCUCUGUUGUCAACUUGGAGCAUCCAUUCCAUCAGGCGAUAGCAGAGGCAGGAUCUUUCCAUCAGCUUAGCUGAGAGACUAGCAACUUUUGGCCCCUCCUCUUCUUGAGUUCCUUCCAUUUCUAACUCAGUGUUACAGGAAUCCUGUAAGUAAGAACUGCUAUUCCCUCUUAGCCUCCCAGAUAGGUUUUUUUUGUUGUUGUCACGACUUUCAAUAUUGUACACUUGAGUGCAGGGACUGGCUUCUUAUUGAUAUAGUGGUACCUCGGGUUACAUACGCUUCAGGUUACACACUCCGCUAACCCAGAAAUAGUGCUUCAGGUUAAGAACUUUGCUUCAGGAUGAGAACAGAAAUCGUGCUCCAGCAGCGCGGCGGCAGUGGGAGGCCCCAUUAGCUAAAGUGGUGCUUCAGGUUAAGAACAGUUUCAGGCUAAGAACGGACCUCCGGAAUGAAUUAAGUACUUAACCCGAGGUACCACUGUAUUUGUAAGCUGCUCUGCAAACCCUUUUUUUGGCUGAUGAGCAGAGUAAAAAUACUUUAAAACAAUCAAACGUGUGUUAGGACAUGCCGAUCAUUGGAACGAAGUAUUGUCACGUGUCAGAAGGUUCGUAGUUUCGAACAAUUGUCUGUUUUGUCUUUGAUAUUUAAUUUGUGCUGUUACCUGUGGAAGCAGGCUUAAUAUAACACCCUAUCCGCUAGUCCUGUUUGCUACAUGCUUGCAGCCUAAUUUCCGUUAUAUUCCCUGUGUUAUAUAGAAAUACUUAAUGUCAGGAAGGCAGUAUUUACUGAAAUACACAAGUUCAGAAUUCAUCAUGAUUCUGUGUGAAAUCCACUCGCCCUUUGCUCCCCACCCCCCUCCUGAAUUGGAAUGAAAUGUGCCUUAAACUGUAGUGAAAUACAUCACAUGCAGCAACAGUGGGGCCUUGCUUCGCCUCUAUUCCUGGUGUGAAAUCGAUACACUAUCUUUCCUCCUGACCUGUUCUGUGACCUCCAUUGCAGCUUUCAUGCUGAACAGCAAUUGCUUUGAACAGCCUGGGUCUGCCAAGGCUCACAAAUGAUUCCCCGCUUUUGUCUAAAACUGAUGCUGAUAACAAAGGAAUGAUUUUAAAUAAUGCAGUUGUAGUCGUUUUCUAAUUAUGAAUUACAUGAAAGUGCAUGCUCUUCUAUUAUUAAACCGUUUCAACAGCAGAUACAGUGGGUAUAUAAGCGAAAUUGCUUCAUACUGGGACAACGCAGGAUUUCUGUCCUGAAAUUUUUUUCUGCUAAAGUUUACGUUGCUUGUGGAAAACAGCAGGUGUAAUAAUAAAGCAUAUUGUGGGGGGUAGUUAAGUGGAAUUUUAUAUUCCUGUUGAAUUUUGUAAACCCUGAAAUGUAAUUUUCACACCACUGCCAGAGAAGAAAAGUAGGUUGGACACAAUUUAAUUUCCCAGGUUUCCUAACCACAGUCUUAAACUAAAUCAAAGUUAAAAAUGGGCACUGAAAAUAGUCAACUAUUUCUGUAAAUUUGAACUUACAUAUACAGAGUAUAUGUAAAUAGUAGUAUUUUAAAAUAUUUUAGACAUUUACCUUAAGAUGUGGGGGAAUUAUUGAAGUUAUAAUUGGCAUUUACACUUGCAUCAAGAAAUCCAUUGUUCAAUUAGGUAGAUUAGGCUAAUAGCUGUUACUGGCUUUGAAAUUGAGAAACUGUCUGGUGUUAUGCUGAAGUUAUUAUUGCUUACAAAAUGUAUUGGUAAGGAAUAAAAUGCAGAAGGACAGUUUUAAAUAUCUGUCUUUUGAGACUUUUCACACCUGCGAUUAAAAAAAAUGAAUACAUCAAUAAAUAUUGCUGAAACUAUGAGUUGCUUAAAAAGCAUUUUUAACAACACAGCAUAACUAAUCGAAAUUACAUGGAAUAAUACUAGCUUACUUUUACAUUUCAUUUAUGGUGUGAUGUACACGGAAAUUGUCUUUUCUGUCAAACAGCAAGACGAAUAUUGCUUCUGACAAACUCCACUAUAAUAACUACUAUAUAAAACCCACACCCCUCUGUUUCUUUCAUUCAUUCCAGCUGUUAUCAGCAUAGCUUCAUUUCUGAUGCACUAGAGAACUUUUUUUUUUUUUUAAGGUCUGGUAACAAGUGAUUUUCCAUAAUGUAAAGAAACUUGUGUGUGGUUGUGAAUCACUGAUGUGACUAAGGGAGAACUGUUGUAUUCCAGUAUUAUAUUUAAUAGUAAACAUAACUCGUUUGAAGAUUUCUUAUUGUUUAUUUCCAGUCACAUUUAUAUUAGUUUAUGUGACGGCUGCCAUGUUUCCUUCCCCAAAUAACCCUGGAAUGAUGGUCCAAGCCAUUUUGAGAUCAAAAUAUUGAGUGGGGGACAGGCCUCCUAAAGGGGAACUGUGCUGCCGCUGCUGCUGGCACUCUGUGUGGUAGCAGCAAAAUAAGGUUCUGUUAAUCUCACAUUUCUUGAUUGUAACCAUUGGUCAUCACUGUUUAAAACAAGGGAACUGGGCAUGAUACAUCAAUUAAGCAUAAGUAGAUAAAAGCCAGAUGAAUUAAAUAUGUCAGCAUACCCAAUGAAAAAAAUAACUACUAUCUUCAGAUCAACCAGUUAUGUACUGUACCUAGAUUUAAAAUCCUUUCUUUAAAUCAAGAAGAUAAGUAACUAUUAACCAUAACAAAUAAAACUUAC
rnacentral:lncRNA from 1 species